rnacentral:rRNA from 1 species
CCCUUAGAUGUUCUGGGCCGCACGCGCGCUACACUGACGAAUGCAACGAGCUUAUAACCUUGGCCGACAGGCCUGGGCAAUCUUUGAACAUCGAUCGUGAUCGGGAUAGAUUCUUGUAAUUUUUGAUCUUAAACGAGGAAUUCCUAGUAAACGCAAGUCAUCAGCUUGCAUUGAUUACGUCCCUGCCCUUUGUACACACCGCCCGUCGCACCUACCGAUUGAAUGGUCCGGUGAAAUCUCCGGACUGGCGUGAGUCGGAGCAAUCUGACAAACACCGGAAAGUUGAUUAAACCUUACCAUUUAGAGGAAGGUGAANUCGUANCA